GGUGGGAUGGCAGAGUGGCCGAAUGCGGCGGUUUUGAAAACCGCUGUGCCUUCACGGGCACCGGGGGUUCGAAUCCCUCUCCCACCGCCA
rnacentral:tRNA from 1 species